GUGGUUGUAGCUCAGUGGUAGAGCGAUUGCUUAGCAUGUGUGAGGCACUGGGUUUGAUUCUCAGCACCACA
rnacentral:tRNA from 1 species